rnacentral:rRNA from 1 species
CUUUCAACAACGGAUCUCUUGGUUCUCGCAUCGAUGAAGAACGUAGCGAAGUGCGAUAUGUAGUGUGAAUUGCAGAAUUCCGUGAAUCAUCGAAUUUUUGAACGCAAAUUGCACUCUCUUCGGAGAGUAUGCCUGUUUGAGGGUCAGCCU